GAUGAACGCUAGCGGGAGGCUUAACACAUGCAAGUCGAGGGGCAGCAUAAUGUAGCAAUACAUUGAUGGCGACCGGCGCACGGGUGAGUAACGCGUAUGCAACCUACCUUUUACAGGAGGAUAGCUUCCGGAAACGGAAAUUAAUACUCCAUAAUUUUAUAAUAAGGCAUCUUACUAUAAUCAAAGCUACGGCGGUAAAAGAUGGGCAUGCGUAACAUUAGUUAGUUGGUGAGGUAACUGCUCACCAAGGCGACGAUGUUUAGGGGUCCUGAGAGGGUCCACCCCCACACUGGUACUGAGACACGGACCAGACUCCUACGGGAGGCAGCAGUGAGGAAUAUUGGUCAAUGGGCGCAAGCCUGAACCAGCCAUCCCGCGUGCAGGAAGACAGCCCUAUGGGUUGUAAACUGCUUUUCUGAGGGAAGAAUAACCAAGAUUUGUUCUUGGGACGACGGUACCUCAGGAAUAAGCAUCGGCUAACUCCGUGCCAGCAGCCGCGGUAAUACGGAGGAUGCAAGCGUUAUCCGGAUUCAUUGGGUUUAAAGGGUGCGUAGGCGGACUGGUAAGUCAGUGGUGAAAUCUUUCGGCUCAACCGAGAAACUGCCAUUGAAACUGUCAGUCUUGAGUCAGGUAGAGGUAGGCGGAAUGUGUAAUGUAGCGGUGAAAUGCUUAGAUAUUACACAGAACACCGAUUGCGUAGGCAGCUUACUGGACCUGCACUGACGCUGAAGGCACGAAAGCGUGGGG
rnacentral:rRNA from 1 species